rnacentral:lncRNA from 1 species
CACUUGAUUAUUGAUUGCAAGGUAAUUAAUUGUUAAUUUGGAUAAUUUUAAGUCCGUAAUUGCUUGAAUUGUUCAAACAUAAGAACACUUGGUGUAACAACUAAGGAAUUGUAUGAUCUAGCAACAUCUCAUGCGUUUGAGUAGUUAGGAUUGGAUCUCUCUCUUUCUUCAUGCAAUUAAUAAUUGUUUGAUGCCUAAGGCCCAAGGACGUUUCUUGGCAAUUUGUUAAUUAGUAAUUAAUUAGAGGACGUUCCCU